rnacentral:rRNA from 1 species
UACAGAGGGUGCGAGCGUUAAUCGGAAUUACUGGGCGUAAAGCGUGCGUAGACGGCUAUCUAAGUCGGGUGUGAAAGCCCCGGGCUCAACCUGGGAAUUGCAUUCGAGACUGAAUAGCUAGGGUGCGGUAGAGGGAAGCGGAAUUUCCGAUGUAGCGGUGAAAUGCGUAGAUAUCGGAAGGAACAUCAGUGGCGAAAGCGGCUUCCUGGACCAGCACCGACGUUCAGGCACGAAAGCGUGGGGAGCAAACAGG